rnacentral:misc_RNA from 1 species
UUUCCGUAGGUGAACCUGCGGAAGGAUCAUUAUUGUAUAACCGAGGUGCGAGGGCUGUCGCUGACCCGAAAGGUCGUGCACGCCCGAGUGCCCUCACACACAUCCAUCUCACCCCUAUGUGCACCACCGCGUGGGUCCCCCUUUGGCUUGUUCGGAGGGGGGCUUACGUUUUCACACAAACUUUGUAUGCAGUGUAGAAUGUAUUUUUUGUUUUUGCGAUCACGCAAUCAAUACAACUUUCAACAACGGAUCUCUUGGCUCUCGCAUCAAGAAGAACGCAGC